ACAAAUUAGUAUUCAAAAAGAUUUCAUUUAACAUUUGCUCCUUCUCUAUUCAUUUACGUUCUCUGAUAUUGUAGUUGCGCAUAAAAAUCUAAAUGCAUCAAGCAUUUAAUUGUUAUUGUGAUAUUAAUUAUUGUAAAAACGAUGGAGCAUAAUGCCGGAUAUGUGUCAUUUUUGCCACUUAUGCAAGCCGAUGCAGUUGGACCCUCUGCGUAGAUGGGACGAUUCUGUAAACGUGACGCAGCACAUCCCACAUGAUGACUCGCUUCGGUAACCAUGAGUGCGAAGUGUGAAAAAUCUUUACUAAAAAUUGAAUCAAAUAUAUUAACACAAGCCUUUAAAAAAAAUUUGUAUAUAUAUAAUAUAAAUGUCUGUACUACUGCUUA